rnacentral:rRNA from 1 species
UGGGGAAUAUUGCACAAUGGAGGGAACUCUGAUGCAGCGACGCCGCGUGAACGAAGAAGGCUUUCGAGUCGUAAAGUUCUUUUAGAUGGGAAGAUAAUGACGGUACCAUAAGAAAAAGCCCCGGCUAACUACGUGCCAGCAGCCGCGGUAAUACGUAGGGGGCUAGCGUUGUCCGGAAUCACUGGGCGUAAAGGGUUCGCAGGCGGAAAUGCAAGUCAGGGGUAAAAGGCAGUAGCUUAACUACUGUAAGCCUUUGAAACUGCAUAUCUUGAGAAGAGUAGAGGUAAGUGGAAUUUUUUGUGUAGCGGUGAAAUGCGUAGAUAUUAAAAAGAAUACCGGUGGCGAAGGCGACUUACUGGGCUCAUUCUGACGCUGAGGAACGAAAGCGUGGGUAGCAAACAGG